UAUAGCAAGAAUUUUUUUUAGUAUAUUUAUAAAUAAAAAAUUUAUUCUUAUUUUUAAAAAAAUAUCGCUAUAUAUAAAUUAUCUAUGAGGUGAUUUAUUUUAUUCUGAAAAAUAAUCUAAAAGCUAAUUAUGAUAUUUUAUUCUAAACAUUAAAUGGCACCUCGCAUCAUCCAAAUAUAAAAAUUAUUUUAAUAAAUUAAGAGGAUAUAUCAAAUAAGAUAUUCAUGCAUCCAAAUAAUGAUAAUACUGAAUAAGAGCCAGAGAG
rnacentral:lncRNA from 1 species